GACGAACGCUGGCGGCGUGCUUAACACAUGCAAGUCGAACGGACCCAAGUUGUAGUAAUAUGGCUUGGUUAGUGGCGAACGGGUGAGGAACACGUGACUAAUCUACCCUGGACAGGGGAAUAACGCUGGGAAACUGGCGCUAAUACCGCAUGUUGAGCUUGAAGGGCAUCCUUCGGGUUUGAAAGUUUCGGCGGUCCGGGAUGAGGUCGCGUCCCAUUAGUUUGUUGGUGAGGUAACGGCUCACCAAGGCGACGAUGGGUAGCUGAUCUGAGAGGAUGAUCAGCCACACUGGGACUGAGAUACGGCCCAGACUCCUNACGGGAGGCAGCAGUGAGGAAUAUUGCGCAAUGGGCGAAAGCCUGACGCAGCAACGCCGCGUGGAGGAUGAAGGUGCUUUGCAUUGUAAACUCCUGUAGAGGGGGACGAACAUCCCGCCAUUCGGCGGGCCUGACGGUACCCUAAAGUAAGCACCGCUAAUU
rnacentral:rRNA from 1 species